rnacentral:rRNA from 1 species
AUGAACGCUGGCGGCGUGCCUAAUACAUGCAAGUCGAGCGAACGGACGAGAAGCUUGCUUCUCUGAUGUUAGCGGCGGACGGGUGAGUAACACGUGGAUAACCUACCUAUAAGACUGGGAUAACUUCGGGAAACCGGAGCUAAUACCGGAUAAUAUUUUGAACCGCAUGGUUAAAAGGGAAAAACGGUCUUUCUUUCCCUUAAUGAUGGAUCCGCGCUGCAUUAGCUAGUUGGUAAGGUAACGGCUUACCAAGGCAACGAUGCAUAGCCGACCUGAGAGGGUGAUCGGCCACACUGGAACUGAGACACGGUCCAGACUCCUACGGGAGGCAGCAGUAGGGAAUCUUCCGCAAUGGGCGAAAGCCUGACGGAGCAACGCCGCGUGAGUGAUGAAGGUCUUCGGAUCGUAAAACUCUGUUAUUAGGGAAGAACAUAUGUGUAAGUAACUGUACACAUCUUGACGGUACCUAAUCAGAAAGCCACGGCUAACUACGUG